rnacentral:rRNA from 1 species
GAUGAACGCUGGCGGUAUGCUUAACACAUGCAAGUCGAACGGACUCUUCGGAGUUAGUGGCGGACGGGUGAGUAACGCGUGAGAAUCUGGCUUUGGGUUCGGGACAACCACUGGAAACGGUGGCUAAUACCGGAUGUGCCGAGAGGUAAAAGAGAAAUUGCCUGAAGAUGAGCUCGCGUCUGAUUAGCUAGUUGGUGAGGUAAAGGCUCACCAAGGCAGCGAUCAGUAGCUGGUCUGAGGGGAUGACCAGCCACACUGGGACUGAGACACGGCCCAGACUCCUACGGGAGGCAGCAGGGGGGAAUUGUCCGCAAGGGGCGAAAGCCUGACGGAGCAAUACCGCGUGAGGGAAGAAGGCUCUUGGGUUGUAAACCUCUUUUCUUAGGGAAGAACAAAAUGACGGUACCUAAGGAAUCAGCAUCGGCUAACUCCGUG